AUCUUGUGAAGAAGCUGGACAGCACAUAGAUACGUCAAAUUGUAAAGUGUUCUGGAGAGGAAGUUUUAUCUAGGUUUUGUUUGUUCUUGUUCUCCGGUUGGUUUUUUUGUUGACCCGAAUUGACCUGGGACUGUUCGCUGUGAGGCUGGAGUCACUGGAUCCAGGACCUGUGGACCUGCUGGACGCCUUGACGUCUCUUCUUGGUGGACCUGGCCUUCAUUGCAGUACAGCUGAAUUAAGCUAAGAUCUUGUGCACCAACGAAAGAAAGAAACAAAAAAUUCAUACUACCCGGGUAGAUGAGACACAAUAGUUUUUUUUCAGAGCACUGAACUUUUUAUUUUGAAAGGACAAAUUGUUGGACAAAAGGACUGAUUUAUGUAGGGGUAAGCUGGUAAUAUUUGGGGAAGAAUAUUGAUUCUGUUCAAUAAAUUUUACACACUUUUCUCAUUUCAACCUACAGUCUAAAUUUAUUACACCUUCUUUCCUCCUUUAGAACCUAGAUUCCUGGGUACACGUAUCAUUCAUAUCUUACUAGUUCGUUUGGUACAGGUUACAACAACACAUCAUUUUUGGGAGAUUUUCAAAAGAUCUAUCAAAUAUUGCUGUUUCAAUUCACAUAAACAUAAUAAACAAUCAUAUAAAUGUGAAGAGUACUCUGCUGAAGGCAAUCAAGAGCUGUAUAGUUGCAGACAGUGCUUUCAAACGAGAGAGAUCCAGUUGGAUUUAACUGUAUAAGAUAAUGUAAUGUAUAGGUUAAUUCAAGGCUGGGGGAAUGGUGGAUGUACACGUUUCCCAUGGUGCAGCUCUCACACAGACACACACAUGAACAAUACCUGUCCCAAUGUAAUUACACCAGAGAGCAUGAGUCAAAGGGCCACAGUCAAGCACCUGCUCUGGGCCAGCCUCACCUCACCAUCCAGGCCCCCCACACCCCCCUGCACCCACAAGCCAAUCUCCCAGUCACAACAUAUAGCGAGAGGGUAGUAUCAACAAAGUUAAAAGUGAAUGUCCUGAUUUUUUUACGAGGCCAUAAAUAAAGCAUAAUAAGCAAUUAUAGAUUUCCAGCUAAUUAUGUUUAAGAGUUUUUAAUUCAAUCAAAAUUAUAUUAGAGUCAUUCAACUUUGAGCAGUCCCUAUUCUCCACUCAAGACGUCAUUGCUUCAAAAAUUCCUGUUUUCCCUUACCCCUUUUACAUGCCCACUGCUCUGUACUUUAUUUUUUUAAACACUUAUACAGUAACAUAAAUAACCUGAGGUAGCAGUGAGAUCAUCUUUACCCAGCGUCAGAGGGUGACUAGUUCAAAUCCCGCCUGAGCGUAUACAGGGUACUUCUCCCAGUGUCUCUCCUGUCAAGACAUACAAGUUGCUUAGACAAAUAUUAUGAUGUGCAGUGUGAUCCCUUAAAGGUGCAGUAUGUAAACUUUCUGGUGGAAAAGUUACUCGUCUCCUUAGAGAGGUUGUUUGUGCUGAGAAUGUUCUAUCUUACAUUUUUCUUUCUCUGCAUAAAAAAUAAAGUGGCGCCGCCAAGACACAGGCAAUAAAACAGCAGUAAACUGUAAUCAAAUAAAUACAAGACAGAUAAGUUUAAUGCUAUUCUGCGGAACAAUCCAGGCAAAGCAAUAAUAUUCCUGAGACAAGCAGGUGCCCCUAAGAAAAAAAGCAAAUCAAAAGUUCAUGAAUAAACUUUGAGAAUAUUCUUUUCUUCAUCUAGCUCAGAAUAAAUUCCCUCCACAGAUGCUCAGUUGCUGUUGUAUGGGAACUGGGGGAGCGGGCAUUCACACAGGUAUCACAGCAGUGCACAAGACAGCAGAUGGACUCAGGCAAAAGCAAUGGUUAUAAAGGGAUGGCAACAUAUUUCCCAGAUGUAAUAAAUAUGUAUUGACUUAUAUGUGUUUGCACGCAUCUAAAUGGUCUGACGUGUCUGUACCUUAAAACCACAAGAGGGUGAAACAAGCCAAAACUUUUAACACUUCAUAUAUUAAUUAGCUGCUAGUACUAAUUGGAAGUGUGGUUUGUGUCAAAUGUGUUUUAUUUAAGAUAUAGAACAGGGUAAUUGAAGAUGUUGGAAAUUAAUUAACUUGUUUAUUAUUCUUCUGCCUAUGAGAGUGCAUUUCAUUUAGGCAAACUUGCUUGUUGUCGGAAUAAAACUUGUCAACGGCUUGUGUAAUAGCUACAGAAAAAUAUAUACAAGAGUUUCAGAAUUGUGAAAUAUUAUAACUUGUCUAAGAAGCUGACAUCCAUGAAUACAUAUUUUUGUUUUUGGUUUGUGUGGCUGUGUGAGGGUUAUAAGUGCACUAUGUAACUUUUGGGGGUCCAUCACGUCUUGUUUCUGUCAUGCUUCAAAUGUUCCACAAUAUGACAUUAAACAGAUUACCUUA